UGUGGGAGCGGGCUUGCUCGCGAAGGCGGAGUAUCUGGCACUGAUACUUUGAAUGUGCCGAUGUCUUCGCGAGCAAGCCCGCUCCCACA
rnacentral:antisense_RNA from 1 species